UACAGUAGCAAGAGUCUGCUGAAUGGAC
rnacentral:piRNA from 1 species